UCCGAGUUGACCCCGGCAGUCUCCUACGAGUCCCCACCAUUACGUGCUGGCAACAUAGGACAAGGGUUGCGCUCGUUGCGGGACUUAACCCAACAUCUCACGACACGAGCUGACGACAGCCAUGCACCACCUGUAUACCGACCACGAGGGGGGCCGUAUCUCUACGGCUUUUCCCUACAUGUCAAGCCCAGGUAAGGUUCUUCGCGUUGCAUCGAAUUAAAGAACAUGCUCCGCUGCUUGUGCGGGCCCCCGUCAAUUCUUUUGAGUUUUAGCCUUGCGGCCGUACUCCCCAGGCGGAACACUUAUCGCGUUGGCUUCGGCACGGACAGAUUCGACUCCGCCCACACCUAGAGUUCAUCGUUUACGGCGUGGACUAC
rnacentral:misc_RNA from 1 species